rnacentral:rRNA from 1 species
UACAGAGACUGCAAGCGUUAUUCGGAUUCACUGGGCGUAAAGGGUGCGUAGGCGGUUGUGUGUGUCAGGUGUGAAAGCCCGGGGCUUAACCCCGGAAUUGCGCCUGAAACUACAUGACUAGAGCAUUGGAGAGGGUAGCGGAAUUCACGGUGUAGCAGUGAAAUGCGUAGAUAUCGUGAGGAACACCGGUGGCGAAGGCGGUUCUCUGGGCAUGUCCUGACGCUGAGGAGCGAAAGUGUGGGGAGCGAACAGG